ACGACUUACAUGUAAGUCGUCCAAAUAUUCCCGCCUAAAAUUUUUAAAAAAAAUUAUUUUCCCGCUUAAAUAAUUUAAACCAGACGACUUACUUGUAAGUCGUCUGGAAAGUCUUCUAUUUUAGUUUCCCGCUAAAAAUAUUUAAUUUCCCGCUAAAAAUAUUAAACUCUUCUAGACGACUUCCAUGUAACAGUAAUCAAUUAUCUAUAGAUAGAUAACAAAAAAAAAAAUCCACGGCAUCGUAAACUACUUUACCACUUAAAUUAGAGUUGAAUAAGGCCUAAAAUUUAUAAUUGUCUGAAACUCAAAUAAUGUUGUGGUAGACACGUGUCGCGUCUGCAGCGAACGACUUUCCACGUGGUAAAGCAGGAGAGAUACCAACAUAUUUAUAUAUAUAUAUAUAUAUAUAUAUAUAUAUAGAUAGAUUGAUUAUCUGUAACUUAAUUCUGCCAUGUUUCACUCUCAGAUUUAUGUAUUUUCUUUAUGCUUUAAUUCAAUGUUUUUUGUUCUUUCUUUUUGUAAGUAAACAAUUUUGUGGUUGUCUCUCCUUUCUAUUGUAUUCUUUUUCAUUUGUUUGUUGUAAGAUUAAUAUUUUAAAAUGUUCAUGUAAUCUACGUUUGGAAACUCAAACAUAUGAGGUUUGACAAAAGAAAAAAGGAAACCCAAACAUCAUCGGACAGGAACUUUUGGGCGAGUUUUUUUUGCUUCAAAAUCGAAAAGAUCCAAGACUGGAUGUGUAUCGGUUCUAGUGGUGGUAUACCAAUGGGCGUCUCGAGUCAUCUUCUCAUUCUGUCUUUUUUAGUUUUGAAACACCAUUCUGUCUUCUUUACAAUGGAAUUUUUUGUAAUUAGUUAAUAGUUUGACCAACUUUCAAGAGGGAGAUAAAGAGAGAAGAGCCUUCCACUA